rnacentral:rRNA from 1 species
UUAACCCCGGCGGGGAAACUAGCAUAUCAAUAAGCGGAGGAAAAGAAACCAACAGGGAUUGCCCCAGUAACGGCGAGUGAAGCGGCAACAGCUCAAAUUUGAAAUCUGGCGCAAGCCCGAGUUGUAAUUUGUAGAGGAUGCUUCUGGCCAGCGGCCGUUCUAAGUUCCUUGGAACAGGACGUCAUAGAGGGUGAGAAUCCCGUAUGUGACCGGCGCGCAGCCUUUACGUAGCUCCUUCGACGAGUCGAGUUGUUUGGGAAUGCAGCUCUAAAUGGGAGGUAAAUUUCUUCUAAAGCUAAAUACCGGCCAGAGACCGAUAGCGCACAAGUAGAGUGAUCGAAAGAUGAAAAGUACUUUGGAAAGAGAGUUAAAAAGCACGUGAAAUUGUUGAAAGGGAAGCGCUUGCAACCAGACUUUGCGGCGGUGUUCCGCCGGCCUUCUGACCGGUCUACUCACCGCCGCGAGGCCAACAUCGUCUGGGCCCGCUGGAUAAGACCGGAGGAAUGUAGCUUCCCUCGGGAAGUGUUAUAGCCUCCGGUGAUGCGGCGCGGCUCGGGCGAGGUCCGCGCUUCGGCAAGGAUGUUGGCGUAAUGGUUGUCAGCGGCCCGUCUUGAAACACGGACCAAGGAGUCUAACAUCUAUGCGAGUGUUCGGGUGUCAAACCCCUACGCGUAAUGAAAGUGAACGGAGGUGGGACGCGCAAGCUGCACCAUCGACCGAUCCUGAUGUCCUCGGAUGGAUUUGAGUAAGAGCAUAGCUGUUGGGACCCGAAAGAUGGUGAACUAUGCCUGAAUAGGGUGAAGCCAGAGGAAACUCUGGUGGAGGCUCGCAGCGGUUCUGACGUGCAAAUCGAUCGUCAAAUUUGGGUAUAGGGGCGAAAGACUAAUCGAACCAUCUAGUAGCUGGUUCCUGCCGAAUUUCCCC